AGGUGAAAAUUGAACCAACUCGUUUACCAAAUCAUACCAAACCCCUCUUUUACCAAUCUCCAAACCCUUUCAAAAUAUCUAUUUUCAAAUUUUAAAAUACUAAAUCUCUCUCAAACCAUCUCUCUUGUGACAAUUUCUAAGAACCCUAGAUUCUCACAAACACUCUGACUUUCUCCGUCUUCCCAAACACACCAUCUUUAUCAUUCUGGUUCUCAGAAAUGCGAGGAAACAACCUAAUAGAUCUUGGUUUUUCGUCAUAAGUUGUACCAGCUUUGGAAAGAGAGAUAUGGUCCUCAUUUAUGACAACCAGUGAUUUCUGGCUUGGGAGAAGAUAACAAACCCUUCACAUGCACCAUGGACUCCAUUGAAGCUAAGUAAGCACAUAUCAUCCUUGUCAAAUCGACAGAAGACAAACCAGACGAUUGCCAGCGGCGUGUGGACUGAGGAGCAGCUUCCCGGACCGAGGUGGUAAGUGUACAACUCAACGAUUGCACCUCGAGUUGUUCUUCCUGAGUAAACUCAGAAGUUCUAGUGACAAUUAUCUCAAGCUUUCUUUCUCUCUCUCUCUCUAUCUAUUGGAGGAAGAUGAUAGAUUUGACUACACUUGUUUUGUGGAUGUGGAUACAACUUUAUAGAUAAAUUUUCAUAUACAAAUCCUUGUCCACAACUUUUGUUUUUCUAUCCAUGUAUUCUCCAUCUUUUGUAUUAAUGUCCACAAUCUUCGUUUUCCAUAAACUUUCUUUUUUUCCUCCAUAAACUUUGUUUUAUUUUUCCUGAACUUGUACGUGGAUGUUAUUGGUUUGAACUUAUCAAC